UGUGAACUUGGGAUCGAGUCGCAGGUUUGGGAAACUACACCGCGAAACCCAGUAUUGUUUGAUUAUUACAGGGUACCUGGAGUUGUUUCUCAAGCUUGUGACACAUUCCCGUUUGGCACA